GCGAGAUUGAUGGAAUGGUAGACAUGCAGGAUUUAGGUUCCUGUGCCGCAAGGCGUGAGAGUUCGAGUCUCUCAUCUCGCACCA
rnacentral:tRNA from 3 species